ACUGCUAUCGGGUUCCGACUAAGCCAUGCGAGUCAUGGGGUCGCAAGACACCGGCGCACGGCUCAGUAACACGCGGAUAAUCUAUCCUCUGGUGGGGGAUAACCUCGGGAAACUGAGGCUAAUACCCCAUAGAUAUUCAAUGCUGGAAGGCUUGGAUAUCGAAAGCGCAAGCGCCAGAGGGUGAGUCUGCGACCUAUCAGGUAGUAGGUGGUGUAACGGACCACCUAGCCUAAGACGGGUACGGGCCUUGAGAGAGGGAGCCCGGAGAUGGGUUCUGAGACACGAACCCAGGCCCUACGGGGCGCAGCAGGCGCGAAACCUUCGCACUGCGCGAAAGCGCGACGAGGGGAGCCCGAGUGCCUCUCCAUUUCGGGGAGGCUUUUCACAAGCCUAAAAAGCUUGUGGAAUAAGGGCUGGGCAAGACGGGUGCCAGCCGCCGCGGUAAUACCCGCAGCUCGAGUGGUGGUCGCUUUUAUUGAGCCUAAAACGUUCGUAGUCGGCCUUGUAAAUCCCUGGGUAAAUCGGGCCGCUUAACGGUUCGAAAUCCGGGGAGACUGCAAGGCUAGGGACCGGGCGAGGUCAGAGGUACUUUCGGGGUAGGAGUGAAAUCCUGUAAUCCCGAAGGGACCACCUGUGGCGAAGGCGUCUGACUUGAACGGCUCCGACGAUGAGGAACGAAGGCCAGGGGAGCAAACCGGAUUAGAUACCCGGGUAGUCCCAGCCGUAAACUAUGCGGGCUAGUUGUCGGAACGGCUUAGGGCCGCUCCGGUAACGCAGGGAAGCCAUUAAGCCCGCCGCCUGGGGAGUACGACCGCAAGGUUGAAACUUAAAGGAAUUGGCGGGGGAGCACCACAAGGGGUGAAGCUUGCGGCUCAAUUGGAGUCAACGCCGGAAAACUCACCAGGGGAGACAGCAGUGUGAAGGCCAAGCUAACGACUUUGCCAGACGCGCUGAGAGGAGGCGCAUGGCCGUCGCCAGCUCGUAUCGUGAGACGUCCGGUCAAGUCCGGGAACGAGCGAGACCUCCAUCCUUAGUUGCAACCCUUAAAGGGGCACACUAAGGAGACCGCCACCGAUUAAGGUGGAGGAAGGAGGAGGCAACGGCAGGUCAGCAUGCCCCGAAACCCCUGGGCCGCACGCGAGCUGCAAUGGCAGGUACAAUGGGAUUUGACCCCGUAAGGGGGAAGCAAUCCUCAAAGCCUGCCUCAGUUGGGAUCGAGGGCUGCAACCCGCCCUCGUGAACCUGGAAUCCCUAGUAAUCGCGUGUCAACACCGCGCGGUGAAUACGUCCCUGCUCCU
rnacentral:rRNA from 1 species